AACGUUUUACUGUUGCCUUCCCAAGCAAGACAGUAAUAAACUGCCUCAUCUUCAGCCUGGGUGUUGGAGAUGGUUAAAUAGUAAGUGUUCCCAGAGGAAGAGCCAGUGAACCGAUCUGGGAUCCCUUCUCCCCGGGUGCUGGUACCAUAGAUGACAAAGCGAGGAGCCUGUCCAGGUUUCUGUUGAUACCAGCCAAAGCUUUCCCAGCUACCACUACUUCUAGAGCAGGAGAGUUUCAUAGUUUGGCCCAGGGACACAGACUCCGAGGCUGGCUGAGUUUAAGUCUGUCAAAUGACACCUUUGGAAAAAGAAAAGGAAAAAGAAAUACAAAAUUUUCUAUGUUUAUAAGGAUCAGAAAACAUUGUUUUUUAUGGUAAAUUAGACAAGAUAAAUGGGUUUGGGUUUUUUCCCAUUAUCUCAGCACAAGCCAACCUGAUCCCAUUAACCACCCAAAACCAGACCUGAGCAGAAGCUGAGAACAGCGAAGAGAAGAAGGAGCCAGGCCAUGGUGAAGUCAAAGGAAGGGAGAGUCCCAGAAUGAAUGAAUGAAUUUAUUAGUACGGUCACAGACCAGCGCCAACACACACAACAUCACAGAUCAUAAAAAAUAUAUAUAAAAAAUACAAAGGGCAAUAUAAGUAUAACAAGCAUUUAAAUAUAAAAAAAAAAUUAAAAUUAGUUAUUAUUAAUUAAAAAAUUAAAAUUAAUUAUUAUUAAUUAAAAAAUUAAAAUUAAUUAUUAUUAAUUAAAAAGUUAAAAUUAAUUAUUAGCAUGGCCCCUGCUAUCAACACUUGGGGGUUUGGUCACCAUGGGAUACCACUUGCUUCCUGCGACUAAUUGCAGCCGCACAGAAUUUGGCUACAUUUAAUGUAGUCUUAGGAUUCUUGUCCUCUAGCAGCGGUUCCAAACCAUGGUGUUCCGACUCCUUCCCGGACUUCCGCAAAACAGGAGCAAUAAAAGUCGAACGUAUGUCCUCAUAGAAACGACAACGCAACAGUACAUGUGCAGCAGUCUCAACCUCCAACGAGCCACAGGGGCAGACCCGCGCUGCGUAUGGUUUACCCUCAAAUCUGCCCUGAAGUAAGGCAGAAGGGAGAACGUUGAAUCUGGCGAGGGUAAAAGACCGUCUGUAUUUAGGUACCUGGAGACCUGACAGAUAGUUAGCUGCAGAAAUCCUCUCCCAUAGUCCCUUAUUGCAGGAUGUUUGAUCAUUUCACUCAUGUGGCGUUGUAAUUCUACAUCCCAGAUACGCUGGCGAAUUGUGGUCCUAGCUUUCUCGAAGCCUGUGGCUAUCAGGGUCUGCUGUGGGAUCCCCAAGCCUUUAAGCUUUUCCAGCAGUGUAGCCUUCCAUCUGGAUUGGUAGGUAUCCAAUAAGGUCAAAGGUGCCAGCCCAACCGGGAAGAAAAUAAGCUUUAGCCAGUAAUGGAUCUUCAAUAUCCAUAUCCGGGUACUGAUCGGAAUUUGCCCAACCUCCAAACGGACUGCUAUGUUGGAUACGCAAGAGGGGAUCCCCAGCAGGCAGCGGAAAAACUUAGUUUGAAAUGCCUCUAGGAGAGUAAGGUUUUUAAAACUGCAGAUCUGGGAUCCAUAUAACAAUUGUGGUAGUAUUUUGGCAGCAAAGACCUGGGAGGCUGCCGGUAUGUACUGGCCUCCUUUCCCAUAGAAGAAUCUUAUUAACGCUUUGGUAGAUCUUUCUGCAUUUGCAAUAGUAUUAUUAAUCUGAAAGCGCCAGGAGCCCCUUUCCUGGAAGGUUACACCCAGGUAUUUAAAGGUUGCUACCUGUUCUAUUAAGCGGUUGUCUAUUCUCCAUUUGUGCCUCCUCCUUUUUUUGGAGAACACCAUAACUUUGGAUUUGUUGUAAUUAAUUGUUAAUUGUUCGAUGCUGCAGUAUUUGGUGAAAGAUCUCAAAAGUUUUCUUAAUCCAACACAAGAAAAAGAAAUUAGAACUGUGUCAUCCGCAUAUAAAAGGACCGGGAGGGCGUACCAGCCAAUUUGGGGGGAUGGGCAUUUUCUUUCUCCAUAUGUCCUACUAGCGAGUUGAUAUAGAAGUUAAAUAAAGUAGGCGCAAGGACACACCCUUGCCUGACCCCCUGAUGGAUUUGGAUUUCCUUGGAUAGGUGGCCCUGUCGGUCACACCUUACCCGAAUCCGUGUAUUUUCAUAUAGACUGUGGAUGAGAUACAGUAGGCGUUUGUUUAUAUUUGCGGUGCUUAGCUUUCCCCAGAGCCUGUCCCUCGGUAUUAGAUCAAAAGCAGAGUUGAAAUCUAUAAAGGGGAGAGUCCCAGAGUCAAACAGCUCCUCAAUCUAGCUGCACCUUCCUCCUCCUCCUCCUCCUCCUCCUCUCUUAAAUCGCCUGGAAAUGAGAAAUGACCUCUCAUGCAAAUAGGUCCACAUCCAGUGGCUUGGGCAGAGGCCCCCUUAGCAGCAAAGGGGGUGAUUUGCAUAAGGAAGGUCCAAUCCUUGGUAUGCCAGUUAAAAAGAAAAAUAUCAAGUCGCAGAUUGUGGGAAAGUCCAAGAGACUCUGCCAUGAGCAUCAGAAUACUGGACUAGGAUUGCUGCUUAUUGCACAUUCACCCUGAUUUGUCUGCAAAAAAAUUGAACCAAGUCAACUGUUUAUUCGGCCUCCAUUCACACCUGUUUGCAGGGAGGGAAAAUGACGUUGCACCUGGGAAAUGUCACUCUACACUUUCCAUUUCCCUCUCACUUUCCUUGACACAAAAGUCUGCAUCUUUGACUGGUGAUCAUGUUUCUGGCCUGUUUCGUGAAGGAUCUAGAAAUACGUGAGCAUGCGAAGCAGAAUUCUCUGACUUUUGCAUGGAUAGAAAGUGGCCUAGUGUACAAUGAUCAGAGUCUCACAUCUGUUGCUCUGCAGGACUCUCUCCUAGCUAUGGAUGAGAGAAGUCUGGCUUUCAGAAAACAAAGCACACAUAUCCUCCAACAUUCCUCAGAGGAAAAUAGUGACAUUUCUCAUUUUCCCCCUCGGGAGCCUUCUUGACACCCCAUUUUUUGUUGUCCCCCUCAUAGAAUCUUCUGUCAGAAGAAGUGCGUGUGGCACCAUCACUGCACCAAUAGGACACAACGCACAUGCUCUCCACAGUCCUGAAAAAGACAUGUAAUAUUGAUUUUAUUAUAUUUUAUGAUUUGGUAGAUUUGCAAAAAUAAAAACACACAUCAAUAAAUGAAUUUUAGAAAGGGGCAAGAUUAGAUGCAGAUGCAAAAGCAUUUAUAUUAAAAAAAAAAAAAUCAAGACUCCUUGCGCUCGGCUCCCCCUUUCUUCCUGCCCAGGGCACCCCUGCCUUCUGCAUGCACCUCUGAGGUGGCACAUCACGCAGAGUGGAGCCUCGCCAGCGGCUACCAUGCCAUCCUCCUCCUCCUCCUUGAUCCAGCAGUGCAGACACACAGAAAAGGAAACAUCCAGCUGUUUAGGGACCUCAGCUCCCAUCAGCUCAUUGUCAGGGAUGGCGGGAGAUGCAGCCCCAUAGCAUCCAAAGGGAAAUAUGUGGGUUAUCCCUGCCCUAGACAAACUUUCUGUGCCAAAGGCAGUCCAUCCAGGCAUCAGCUUGACAGCAAACAUGGUCUUGGGCUGCAUUCAGCUUCAGCCUUUUCAUUUCAAGAGGUCUUCUCUGAGUAGAACCUGCAACACACAACUUGCCUAAACAUGCUCAGAGUGUCAGCUAAUAUUCUUGGGUAGAGAAAGUUAUUUUCGGGCCCUUCAGCUCUAGACACGAGUGAGUUGCACUGAAAAAGCACCUAUGCAUAGCCAACAUUUUCCUGCCCUGCCCCAGGUGCAGCGGUCUGUGGUCUCUGUUGUCAUCCUAUCCUGCCAAAUGUGGAGAAGAUGCAUCAACAUCUCCCCUUAAAGGUGAGAGCUGGGAUCACACACAGGCAAGAAGAUUUCACCUCCAACUGUCACUGAACGUUCAGAAAUGAAAACAAUUAGCAAGGCAAAUAUUCAGAUUGCAUCUGAAUACUGGACUAGGAUUGCUGUUUAUUGCACAUAUAUCCUGAUUUGUCUGCACAAAAAUGGAAGCAAGUCAACUGUUUAUUCAGCCUCCAUUCAAACCUGUUUGCAGGGAUGGCAGAUGACGUCGCACCUAGGAGCACAAUCUGAAUCUGCCACUAGGUGAUGGGAUCCCAUUUGAUAGUAAUGACAGGUUUGAAGCACUAUUCAGGGACCAGGUUGCAAAUGAUCCUUGUCUCCACUGCAGACGGUCAUGGCAGUAACGUAAGGUGCAUAUUAGCCCAACCAGAGCACCAAGAUAUAGCCAACUUUUUCUCCAUUCAUGCCAGUGGUUCAGGUGAUACAACAGACCUCUGGCUGGGGUCAGUAAUUUAAUUCAUAUUUCCAAAGUGACAGGGCUGAACCCACAUUGCACCCAGAGUAGCCAACAUCACUUUCUGUAACAGAAUACAACCACAUUUUAAAACCUGGAUACUGACAUGACAAUCUGCUCAGAUUUAUUUCUGGCUUUUCUCCUGGGGGACAAUUUGUGCCCAGAUUCAGCUGUGGCAACCAGCACUUUCACAUCUGAUUCCCUAUAGCUGCACUACAAAUGCAAAGACGUCUGAGCAUCAUAAAUGUGCACUCAUGUACAACACCCCUGCAAAUGGUCUUUGCAAUUAUUGUUCAUUUCCUUUCAUUUCACAUCUGUGUCCAUGGGAGAUUUAUAUUCAUGUAGGAACUGAAAACAUAUACUUUCCCAAUAGCAAGGCUGUGUGGGUUGUCAAAAAAAUCAAAUUCUGACCAAUUUCAGUGCAAUACUAAAAGCAACAAUGUAACCUUAAUAUACAUUUGAAUAUCUUGCAACAGAAUUUAUCAUUUAUUCAUUGUUGGGGGGAAACAAUAUCUGCGUCAGUUCUAUUGCCAUGUCUGCACCUUCAUGACAACCGCACUUCAGAAGUUUCCCAUCUCCUGCCCGGUACACUUUGGAAGACUCAUAAUAUCUCAGCGGUAAGAAACACAUACGUGUUUCUAGACACUCAUAUCCAUUAUUGCAUGAAUCUGUGUGUGCACUGGUUACUUUUGGAAACCUGGCGAUUCCCAAAAUAAAAUAAAGCGAAGUGAUGCAAUAUAAAUGUAUUAUAUUUUGCAUAUGGUAGUUUAUAUAAUACACUAAAUUGUUUGUGGAUACUUGCUUUGUUUUAAGUUCAAGGAGAGAAAUUACAUGCAGAAAGGCUCAUCACUGAGAGUUCAUUCUUCACUUCAUUGGGCGCCCAUAACCUGGGGCAUAAGUCAGCGCCCCUGUUAUCUUGUGAUCCACCCUGAGAUCCUUGGGUGAGAGCUGCUAUAUGCAUAUAUGCAUACAUACAUACAUACAUACUUACAUACAUACAUACAUACAUACAUACAUACUUACAUACAUACAUACAUACAGUGGUACCUCGGGUUAAGGACUUAAUUCGUUCCGGAGGUCCAUUCUUAACCUGAAACUGUUCUUAACCUGAAGCACCACUUUAGCUAAUGGGGCCUCCUGCUGCCGCUGCACAGCCAGAGCACGAUUUCUGUUCUCAACCUGAAGCAAAGUUCUUAACCUGAAGCACUAUUUCUGGGUUAGCAGAAUCUGUAACCUGAAGCGUAUGUAACCUGAAGCGUCUAUAACCCGAGGUACCAAUGUACAGUGAUACCUCUAGAUAUGAACGGGAUCCGUUCCAGAGCCCCGUUCGCAUCUAGAGGUAAACGUAACUAGCAACGGCACGUCUGCGCACUCACGCGUCAUUUUUUGCCGCUUCUGCGCAUGCGAGUGACGUCAUUUUGAGUGUCUGCGCAUGUGCAAGCGGUGAAACCCAGAAGUAAUGCGUUCCAUUUCUUCUGGGUUGCCAAGGAGCACAACUCGAACACACUCAACUCGAAGCGUAUUUAACCCGAGGUAUGACUGCACAAGAUUUUUUUCUAUUUUGUGGGGAGAAAAUUCACAAUUCAAUAAAAAAACCCACAAGAAAUAAAUAAAGAGGGGGGUAAAGAAAGAAGGAACAGGAAAAAAAGAGCUACAAGAUACUUCCUCAGUAUUAUAUCUUAACUUUAAUUCCCUACAAAGGAAGAUUUAGGGCUGGAUAUAUUCUUUAACUGCCGUCAAAAACUUGGCAGCCGUAGAGAAGUGACCAGGAGCAGAGGACCAAGGGGAGUCCCCUUGCUCUGCAUCUCAACUGAUCUCAGGGCACAGAUGACUUUGAGCUCUUCUACAGUCGCUGCUCCAUUCUUCACUCUGGGGAGAAAGAGGGAAGGUUUUUGUCUCAGUUCCCCAUCAGAUUGUAUCACUGUGGAACUUGCUACUACCAGUGAACUCCCAGGCACCACAGUAAUAAACGGCCUCAUCUUCUGCCUGGGUGUUGGAGAUGGUUAAAUAGCCAGUGUUCCCAGAGAUAGAGGGAGUGAACCGAUCUGGGAUCCCUUCUCCCUUGAUGCUGGUACUAUAGAACACCAAGCGAGGAGCCUGGCCAGGUUUCUGCUGAUGCCAACUAAAGAUACCCCAGUUACCACCACUACUUCUAGAGCAGGAGAGUUUCAUAGUUUGGCCCAGGGACACAGACUCUGAGGCUGUCUGAGUAACAGUCUGUGAACUGACACCUUUGGAAAAAGAAAAAGAAAUGCAUCAUUUUCUGUGUUUAUAAAGUUCAGGAAAAAAAAUGUUUCUAUGACAAAUUACACAAGAUAAAUGGGUUUGUGGCUUGACCCAUUAUCCCUGCACGAGCCAAUCUGAUCACAUUAACCAAACAGAACCAGACCUGAGCAGUAGCUGAGAAGGGUGGAGAAAAGAAGGAGCCAAGCCAUGGUGAAGUCAAAGGAAGGGAGAGUCCCAGAGACAAACAGCUCCUCAAUCUAGCUGCACCUUCCUCCUGCUCCUCCUCUCUUAAAUCCCCUGGAAAUGACAGGUGAUCUCUCAGGCAAAAAGUUCCACAUCCAUUGGCUUGGGCAGAGGCAUCACGCUUGGCGGCAAAGGGGGUGAUUUGCAUAAGGAAGGUCCAGUCCUUGGUAUCCCAGUUAAAAAUGAAAUGAUCAAGUAGCAGAUUGUGGAAAAGUUCAAGAGACUCUGUCCUGAGCAUUAGAAUACUGGACUAGGAUUGCUGUUUAUUGCACAUAAACAGCAAAAAUGAAAAACUAAAGAAAGAAGGGACAGAAAAAAGAGCUACCAGACGCUCCAUCAGUAUUAUAUAUUAACAUUCAUUCCCUACAAAGGAAGGUUUAGGGCUCGAUAUUUUCUGAAUUGCCAGUGUAAGCUUGGCAGCCAUAGGAAAGUGACUAGGAGCAGAUGGCCAGGGAGAUCCCUCUUGCUCUGCAUCUCAACAGAUCUCAGGGCACAGAUGACUCUGAGCUCUUCUACAGUUUCUGCUUCAUUCUCAGCUCUGCGGAGGAAGAGGGAAGGUUUUUGUCUCAGUUCCCCAUCAGAUUGUAUCACUGUGGAACUUGCUACCACCAGUGUACUCCCAGUCAGCACAGUAAUAAACUGCCUCAUCUUCAGCCUGGGUGUUGGAGAUGGUUAAAUAGCCAUUGUUCCCAGAGACAGAGGCAGUGAACCGAUCCGGGAUCCCUUCUCCCCUGGUGCUGGUACCAUAGAACACAAAACGAGGAGCCUGGCCAGGUUUCUGUUGAUACCAGUAAAAGCUGAGCCAGCUCCCACUACUUUUAGAGCAGGGGAGUUUAGUUGUUUCACCUAAGGACACAGACUGGGAGGCUGGCUGUGUCACUGUUGCUUGUGAAUUGACCCCUUUACAGAAAAGAGAAAGAAAAAAGUCAUUACCUUUGAUCCUCUGUGCUUUCAAAUAGCACAAGAGCAUUCUGUCGCUAAAACAAAUACAUGUUACAGAUCAUUUUGCUGUUUUGUCUCUCAGGCGUAUGUAAGGGCACUUUGCAUCCUUACCUGAACCGUAAUAGAAAAGGGCAAAGAAAAGCAGAGCCCAGGCCAUGGUGAGCUCUCUAAAGCAGCGUAGAGUCUUUCUAAUUGGACAGGCACCUGGCUGGGACCCAAGGAACCCUUCCCUUUUUAAGUCCCUGGAAGAUGAGGAAUGGUCCCUUCAUGCAAAUUCAACCUCUGCUCAUUGGCUCAGGCCAUGUCUCCACUGAUAAUACCUGGUGCAAUAGGGAAACAAAAUGCAAUAGAACUGAGGUGUAUAAAGGGAUUUUUUUCUUUUUCUAUUUUGACUAUGAUCUUGUCUUGUACAUGAUUAAUUUGAGGCAGAAGUAGGGUAAUAGCUCAGGGGAAAAGGGAGGAGGAAGGCUCAUAGCUUAAUGAUAAUGGACAUGAUCUGCCUGCAGAAGAUGUUGUCCUUGGUAUCUCCACACACACACACACACACACACACACACACGAAUUAAGUAGUAACUGAUGGCAAAUACCUCCUUCUGAGACUCUAAAUUCAUAAUAACCACACCAGAUUAGGAUGCCUUUUCACUUAGUUUUUGCUCUGAUGUGUUAUGUUGCUGCAGGCAAAUGUUCUCCCACACUUUCUGGUUCCUUUGCCUACCACUUUUCUUCUUUCAAUGGUUUCCUUUUGCAGAGAAGAGAGUUUGCUGCACAAGACUUCAAAAUAAACUUAAUUGUGGAUUUCCUGGUAUGUGAUUGAAACUCACCCCAAAAUAACAACAGGCUUGAAGAGCCCUGAAUGAACCAGUAGCCUGACCUAGUAUAAAGCAAUUUCUUCUGACCCAAGAUAGUAUUUGGAUGCUUUAUUACAACAAUACAUUUUGUUUUUAACAUUUGAACGUCAGACAGCUCCAGGAAGUGUUCCACUGUAAAAUCCUACGGGCUACAUCCAACACAAAGCUGGUCUUCUGUCCUCAAAAGAAGCAGGGAAUGCCAAACCUACUUAAGCACUCCCUGCAGAAGGAAGACAACUUAUCACCUUUCCUUCCCACAUUUAUGACAGGAAUUACUUUUUUCAGUAUCUGAACCUCUUUGAACACCAAAGCUCUGUUGAGAUUGCAAGAAACCCUUGUUUCCACUGCAGACUGUGAUCACAGCAAAUCAGGUCACUUAUCACAACUUCUAUCCAUGCAAAACUGCACUAGAAAGCCCUGUAAGAGUUUCUGGGCAUAGCAAAAAUUCUGCUUUUGUAACAAAUCUCUGUAGGUUGGUAAUUUCACUUUUAUCAAUUUCAAUUUUCUCCAUGAUUCUUCAUACAUUAGCAGAAUGGGAGGAGCUCACGUUCUGUUGAGAUUAGGGAAUGAAAUGGCAAUCAGAAAAAAAUCUGCAACUGAGAAUUUCCAAAAAUUGCAUCCCUACAGGUGUGUGAAUUGUGUGUGGCUGAAAAGUGGAGUAAUGUUUGAGGCCAACUGGCUUUUCUGAGCUUUCUAAACUACCCCUGAGCUAAACUAUUCACAAGCAGCCAAAGAAUUGCUGAGACCCUCAAAAAUAGGCAACAAUGAACUGAGUCACACAAAUACUUUUCUCAGGUUCAAACCCACAGCUUGAUGGGGGAAUGAGCUCAAGAUAACUAAUGAUCUCCAAUAUAUAUGAUUCCCUGAAACUGAUUAGCAUCGGGAUAUGAUAAAGUUUGAACUGUCUCUUGUCUGACCCAAAGCUUUAGUGUUAUGCACUAGAAGGAACUUUAUUUGGGGGUCUGGCACUCUGUCGGUGAGAUGCCCCAGUUGUAUGGCGUAAGUUGGAUCUAUGCAAUGAGUAGUCAGGUGCUUCUGCCUUGACGAGGGAAAUGGGAUUAAAUGCACUUGGGUUUCUCUCCAUUCCAAGCACAUGAUUCUUUUUUUUUCUUUUUUAUUAUUAUUAUUAUUAUUUUGUUUAUUUAUUUAUUUUCAAUGCAGAAUCAUAACAAAGCACAUGAUUCAAAGUCCUUGGGGAAAGAUCAAAUGAAACUUUCUAAGGAUUCUUGGUUUGCUGCACUGUGGUCAAAGGGUGAACGUUUUUGUCUCAGUUCCCCAUCAGAUUAUAACAUGGAAACAUGAUACUAUCAGUGUGCUCCCAGUCACCACAGUAAUAAACUGCUUCAUCUUCAACCUGGUUGUUGGAAAUUCUUAAAUAGGAAGAGCCAGUGAACUGAUCCAAGAUCCCUUCUCCCCUGGUGUCAUUGCUGUAGAGAACAAAGCAAGGAAUCUCUCCAGGUUUCUGUUGAUACCAAGAAAAGCCGCCCCAGGUGCUACCACUCAUUCAAGAGCAGGAGAGCUUAGUUGUUUGGCCCAGAGACACAGAUUCUGAGGUAGACUGAGUCAAUGUUGGCUGUGAAAUGACACCUUGGCAAAAUAAAAAAUAGAAAAUAAGCAAGCAUAUAUCUCGUUGGUCUGUGUUGUCAAAUAUCACAGGAGCUUUAGAAUUGUAUGAUAAAUAAACAUGACUUAUACUUUUGGGUUUGGCUCUUAGGCUCACACAGUGAUUUCUUUGCAUCCUUACCUGAACAGUGAUUGAGAAGGACCAGGAGAAACAGAGCAGAGGCCAUGGUGAGCUCUUCAAAGCAGCAGGACUUCCUGAAGCAAGAGGAAACAGACUGGGACUCAACCAACCUUUCCUUUCUUACAUCCCCAGAGUUGGUGAAUGGUCCCUGAAUGCAAAUCCAGCCAGACAGGGUUGGUUGUUCAAGAACUUCACGUCCCCAUGGGGCAUACAUGAAGCCACAUAAGAAAUGCAACAGAAUUGAUAUACAUAAAGGAGCCUUUGAGGAGGCCGUGGUGAUGGUUCCCCACCUGCAUGCUGCUUUGUCAGGGGCCUGACUGGAAGUAAACACAGCUGGGCCAUGGCUGGUUUGAUGUAGUGAUGGAUGGAAAGGUGAGGACAGACCUUCCCUCCUCCUGGCAAUGCAUGCAAAGAUAAAGUAAGAAGAAGAAGAAGAAGAAGAAGAAGAAGAAGAAGUAGUUUUGUUGAUACUCCGCCCUCCCCGGGCUCAGGGAGGCUAACACCAGUAAAAUUACAGUAAAAUCAAAAUAGGGAGAAAAAAAACAAUUUAAAAUACAGGUUAAAAUGCAAUUUAAAAUGCAGCCUCAUUUUAAAAGUAGCCCAUAGAUCAAAACCAUAAGGGGAGGGAAACAUAAGGGUCAGACUGAGUCCAAACCAAAGGCCAGGCAGAACAGCUCUGUCUUGCAGGCCCUGUGGAAAGAUGUCAAGUCCCGCAGGGCCCUAGUCUCUUGUGACAGAGCGUUCCACCAAGUAGGGACCAGUACUGAAAAGUCCCUGACCCUAGUUGAGACCAAUCUAAGCACCUUGCAACCUGGGACCUCCAAAAUGUUGUCAUUUGUGGACCUUAAGGUCCUCUGCAGGGCAUACCUGGAGAGGCGGUCCCGUAGGUACGUUGAGAAGAUGGGAAGGGAUCUUGCUUCCAUCCAGAUGUUAUUGGACUGCAACACCUUCCACCUCUGACCAUUCAGAUGGGUGUGUGUGACCUGCAAUAUCUGGAGGAUCCCAGGUGUCUCCUUCCCAAGAUAGCAUAUAUUCUCCCCCUACAGGCUGCUGAAUGUUCUCUCCCUGAAAAAGCUUGAGGAGAGCACUGGAUGUUCCCGAACACAGGGCUGCAAAGCCCCUUCAGGCAAUGCCUUAAGAUCAUGCUGGAUCCCAGCCACCCCUGCAUUCCACUGGGAAGGUUCAGGUUGGGGGUGGAGAAUUCAACUGCAUUUCUUGAAGGUGUAAAUAGAACUUUAAAGAGCAUACAGAAAGCUGCCCGGUGCCCAGUGAGGCCACAAGUCAAAUUUUAUGUUGAAAUGUCUACACAGACUAACAGCAUGUCCCUGGCAUUUCAGACAAAAGACAGCUCAAAUAAUAUUUAGCAAAUACUGGGGAUUGACCUUGUGGAUACAGCACACGUAGUCCACCACUGAACAGAGGCAUCCAACAGAAUUCCUAUCACUCCAAAUUAUUUACCUCUUCAGCCUUAGCGUUAGGGGGUAACAUAAGGGGGGAGAAUAAGAAGGGUCUGCUUGAUAGGGCAGGGGGCUUCUCCUACAAAACUUACUCAUGUGAAAUUAUGCUCUUGAGUAAUUCAGGCUUCUCCACACUAAGAAAGAGGAGUGAAAGGUUUUUGUCUCAGUUCCCCAUUAGAUUGUACCAUUGUGGAACAUGUCAUUGCUGUUCUCCCAAGCAAGACAGUAAUAAACUGCCUCAUCUUCAGCCUGGGUGUUGGAGAUGGUUAAGUAGUAAGGGUUUGCAGAGGAAGAUGCAGUGAACCGAUCUGGGAUCCCAUCUCCCCUGCUGGUCCCAUAGAGCAACAAGCGAGGAGCCUGUCCAGGUUUCUGUUGAUGCCACUGAUAGUUGUACCAGCUCCCACCAUUACUGGCUGUGCAGGAGAGUUUAGCUGUUUGGCCGAGGGCGACAGAUGAAGAAGCAGGCUGGGUGACUGUUGGUUGCGAAGAGAUAU